rnacentral:misc_RNA from 1 species
AGAUAAUGAUGUAGAAUCUACAGUAGGAGAUGGGGCUUACAAUUUACCAAAGUAUUACUCCUGCAGAUAGACCAGUAGAACAGGCGACCGAUGGAGCUAUAUGUGGAUCAGGGCACAAUUACCAAAUAAGGAAAUGGUUGGGUGUCCGCAGAUCAUCCUGGCUUCUAUUCUUCUAUGUACUUGGAUACAGUGCAUAUCUAAUUGGAGGCAGUUUUCUUUUCUGCUCAAUAGAAAUGGACAACGAGCAGCAUCUGAAAUCAGAUAUAAGCCGGAGAAAGGAAGAGUUUGUCCUCAGAUAUCCUGAGGUAGACCCAGAGGACCUUGAGAACCUUAUCUCAGAUAUAACCUAUCACGGGAUAAGUCCUCUGGAGAAAAGUAAAAAUAAUUCUAACUGGAGUUUUGGACAAAGCUUCUUAUUCACAGUAACUAUUGUUACUACAAUAGGAUAUGGACAUAUUAACCCUGUGACACCAGCUGGUAAGUUGACCUGCAUAGUCUACGCUAUACUGGGAAUCCCCUUCACUCUGAUGUUCCUCUCCGCUCUGGUUCAACGCCUGCUAUCUCCCACCUACAGUUUUCUGUCGAGUCUACUAGAGAAAUUAUCUAACUUUGGUCAUCUAGAGGUUAGACUUGUGCAUCUCGCAACCAUGGGAACUAUCUUUAUAUUACUGGCAUUUCUAGCACCUUCAGUUGUUUUCUGGGCACUGGAGCCGGGUUGGAGUUUUCUGGACUCUGUAUACUUCGUUUUCAUUUCUCUGACAACCAUAGGACUUGGUGACUACAUUCCGGGUGAUAGCGAUGAAACACUGUUUUACAGGGACCUGUAUAAGACUAGUGUUGGUAUAUAUCUGCUGUUUGGUCUAGUUAUGCUGUCCUUAACUUUGACAGUUUACUACGAUAUUCCUCAGCUAAAUCUGGGACUACAUCUACAUAGACACAGGGAUAUCUAUACCGGAGAAAGGAAUGGUGGAAGAAACCACAAGGUAAAGGAUAGUGAACUAAGUACCCACACCAACUGUACCCAAGAUGACGGAGAACUGAAUAGUUUAGUAACUAAAUAAAGAAAUGAUGAAGAAGGAGGAGGAUAAUACUCAAUUAUUUCGAAUUGAACUUGAGAACAAUAAGCUGACUCUAGAGCUCAUCUGAUUCUUUACAAGAACGACUCAAGACGAAGUUCAAAUAACGUCAGCUGUUCCGACACAAGAACAGCUGAUUCUACACGAAAACAGCUGAUUCUACACGAAAACAGCUGAUUCUACACAAAACAGCUGAUUCUACACAAACACAGCUGAUUCUACACAAGUUCAGCUGAUUUUACAGUAGUUCAACGGAUUUGAGCCAAGUAACAAAAAUACUAGAUUGAACAUAAGAUCCGCUAAAUAUACACAAGAUCCGCUGUUUAGUCACAAAAUCCGCUGUUUAAACACAUCCGCUAUUCAAACACAAGAUUCUUUGAUUAAACAGAAAAUCCUCUAAUUUAACACAAGAUCCGCUGUUUAAACACAAGAUCCGCUGUUUAAACACAAGAUCCGCUGUUUAAGCACAAGAUCCUCUAAUUUAACACAAGAUCCGCUGUUUAAACACAAGAUCCGUUGAGUAGCAAAAGAACCCUGAUUAUACAAAUCCGCUGUUUAAACACAAAAUCCUUUGAUUAAACACAUAUCCUCUAGUUAAACAAAAGAUCAGCUGUUUAAACCAAGAUCUGCUAAAAAAAUACGCUGAUUAAACAAAAGAUCCGCUGUGGACACACAAGAUCCGCUGCUUAAACACAAGAUCCUCUUAUUAAACACAAAAUCCGCUGUUUAAACAUAAUUGGUUCUUUAAUUAAACACCAGAUCCGCAGAUAAAACGUUAAAUUCUCUGAUUAAACACACUGUAUUGCACAAAAUUCGCUAAGUGAAGACAUUUUCCGCUAAUUAUGUCACAUGAUCCGCUAAUCAAAUACAGAAUCCGCUUAUUGAACAAAAGAUCCGCUGAUUGAACCCAAAAUCCCCUUAUUAGACACAGGAUUCACUGAUUAAACUAAAAUCCCCUGAUUAUACACAAACCCCGCUAUUCAUGUUUUUGCAUGACUUUAAUUUGAUUUGCACUUUUAAACACAUUUGCUAAAUUCAUUUAAAACUAUAGCACCAAAACUAUAUUAAUUAUUAAUUAUUAAUUAUUAACAGAAUAAAACUUCUAAUGCUGAGCUCUCAGUGCAGUGAAUUCCACAAGUUUCUUGCGCAAUUAAUUGUUGCAGCUACAACAAUUAUGGUUUUCGCGUAUUUCUUUUUCCGGGAAAUUAUUUUUCGCUAAAACUAUUUUUUCAGAAUAUCGCGUCGUUUUCGCAUUUUUUCUCUUCAUUCAUUUUCGAGAAAAAGUUUGUUAAAUAAGAACAAAAAUUUCUCAUUUUUUCGAGAAAGUCCUCGUUCGCUGGAACCCUAAUCAUGAAUAGACAAUUUGUUAUGAACAGCUAGAAUUGUCAAAUAUGAUCCAAUCAAAUUUAGUUAAUAUUGAUAAAGUAAAUUCUAAAACACAUUUUUUUAAAACCCUAAUAGCACCAAAAUAUAAUUUAUUGUCAACUGUUUUUUGAGAAACCAAAGUUGUAAACGAAUGCCAAAAUAUUCAAUAUCAAAUAAAAUAUAUCAUAUUUAAUUUAAUAAGAAAUCUGCCAAAAAAAAACCAAAAAAAUGUUUAAAUACGCACGUCAUGUAAAAAUACUGUUCCAAUAAAUUUAUAGAUUAUA